rnacentral:rRNA from 3 species
UAUUACAAUGAAGAGUUUGAUCCUGGCUCAGGAUGAACGCUAGCUACAGGCUUAACACAUGCAAGUCGAGGGGCAGCAUGGUCUUAGCUUGCUAAGGCCGAUGGCGACCGGCGCACGGGUGAGUAACACGUAUCCAACCUGCCGUCUACUCUUGGACAGCCUUCUGAAAGGAAGAUUAAUACAAGAUGGCAUCAUGAGUCCGCAUGUUCACAUGAUUAAAGGUAUUCCGGUAGACGAUGGGGAUGCGUUCCAUUAGAUAGUAGGCGGGGUAACGGCCCACCUAGUCUUCGAUGGAUAGGGGUUCUGAGAGGAAGGUCCCCCACAUUGGAACUGAGACACGGUCCAAACUCCUACGGGAGGCAGCAGUGAGGAAUAUUGGUCAAUGGGCGAGAGCCUGAACCAGCCAAGUAGCGUGAAGGAUGACUGCCCUAUGGGUUGUAAACUUCUUUUAUAAAGGAAUAAAGUCGGGUAUGGAUACCCGUUUGCAUGUACUUUAUGAAUAAGGAUCGGCUAACUCCGUGCCAGCAGCCGCGGUAAUACGGAGGAUCCGAGCGUUAUCCGGAUUUAUUGGGUUUAAAGGGAGCGUAGAUGGAUGUUUAAGUCAGUUGUGAAAGUUUGCGGCUCAACCGUAAAAUUGCAGUUGAUACUGGAUAUCUUGAGUGCAGUUGAGGCAGGCGGAAUUCGUGGUGUAGCGGUGAAAUGCUUAGAUAUCACGAAGAACUCCGAUUGCGAAGGCAGCCUGCUAAGCUGCAACUGACAUUGAGGCUCGAAAGUGUGGGUAUCAAACAGGAUUAGAUACCCUGGUAGUCCACACGGUAAACGAUGAAUACUCGCUGUUUGCGAUAUACAGCAAGCGGCCAAGCGAAAGCGUUAAGUAUUCCACCUGGGGAGUACGCCGGCAACGGUGAAACUCAAAGGAAUUGACGGGGGCCCGCACAAGCGGAGGAACAUGUGGUUUAAUUCGAUGAUACGCGAGGAACCUUACCCGGGCUUAAAUUGCAGAUGAAUUACGGUGAAAGCCGUAAGCCGCAAGGCAUCUGUGAAGGUGCUGCAUGGUUGUCGUCAGCUCGUGCCGUGAGGUGUCGGCUUAAGUGCCAUAACGAGCGCAACCCUUGUUGUCAGUUACUAACAGGUUCCGCUGAGGACUCUGACAAGACUGCCAUCGUAAGAUGUGAGGAAGGUGGGGAUGACGUCAAAUCAGCACGGCCCUUACGUCCGGGGCUACACACGUGUUACAAUGGGGGGUACAGAGGGCCGCUACCACGCGAGUGGAUGCCAAUCCCCAAAACCUCUCUCAGUUCGGACUGGAGUCUGCAACCCGACUCCACGAAGCUGGAUUCGCUAGUAAUCGCGCAUCAGCCACGGCGCGGUGAAUACGUUCCCGGGCCUUGUACACACCGCCCGUCAAGCCAUGGGAGCCGGGGGUACCUGAAGUGCGUAACCGCGAGGAGCGCCCUAGGGUAAAACUGGUGACUGGGGCUAAGUCGUAACAAGGUAGCCGUACCGGAAGGUGCGGCUGGAACACCUCCUUUCU